GGGAGGUGUGAUCUCACACUCG
rnacentral:miRNA from 1 species